rnacentral:rRNA from 1 species
GCCUAACACAUGCAAGUCGAACGGUAACAGGAAGCAGCUUGCUGCUUUGCUGACGAGUGGCGGACGGGUGAGUAAUGUCUGGGAAACUGCCUGAUGGAGGGGGAUAACUACUGGAAACGGUAGCUAAUACCGCAUAACGUCGCAAGACCAAAGAGGGGGACCUUCGGGCCUCUUGCCAUCGGAUGUGCCCAGAUGGGAUUAGCUAGUAGGUGGGGUAACGGCUCACCUAGGCGACGAUCCCUAGCUGGUCUGAGAGGAUGACCAGCCACACUGGAACUGAGACACGGUCCAGACUCCUACGGGAGGCAGCAGUGGGGAAUAUUGCACAAUGGGCGCAAGCCUGAUGCAGCCAUGCCGCGUGUAUGAAGAAGGCCUUCGGGUUGUAAAGUACUUUCAGCGGGGAGGAAGGGAGUAAAGUUAAUACCUUUGCUCAUUGACGUUACCCGCAGAAGAAGCACCGGCUAACUCCGUGCCAGCAGCCGCGGUAAUACGGAGGGUGCAAGCGUUAAUCGGAAUUACUGGGCGUAAAGCGCACGCAGGCGGUUUGUUAAGUCAGAUGUGAAAUCCCCGGGCUCAACCUGGGAACUGCAUCUGAUACUGGCAAGCUUGAGUCUCGUAGAGGGGGUAGAAUUCCAGGUGUACCGUGAAUGCGUAGAGAUCUGGAGGAAUACCGUGGCGAAG